rnacentral:rRNA from 3 species
AAAUUGAAGAGUUUGAUCAUGGCUCAGAUUGAACGCUGGCGGCAGGCCUAACACAUGCAAGUCGAACGGUAGCACAGAGAGCUUGCUCUCGGGUGACGAGUGGCGGACGGGUGAGUAAUGUCUGGGAAACUGCCUGAUGGAGGGGGAUAACUACUGGAAACGGUGGCUAAUACCGCAUAACGUCGCAAGACCAAAGAGGGGGACCUUCGGGCCUCUUGCCAUCAGAUGUGCCCAGAUGGGAUUAGCUAGUUGGUGAGGUAACGGCUCACCAAGGCGACGAUCCCUAGCUGGUCUGAGAGGAUGACCAGCCACACUGGAACUGAGACACGGUCCAGACUCCUACGGGAGGCAGCAGUGGGGAAUAUUGCACAAUGGGCGCAAGCCUGAUGCAGCCAUGCCGCGUGUAUGAAGAAGGCCUUCGGGUUGUAAAGUACUUUCAGCGGGGAGGAAGG